rnacentral:rRNA from 1 species
GAUGAACGCUGGCGGCAUGCUUUACACAUGCAAGUCGGACGGGAAGUGGUGUUUCCCGUGGCGGACGGGUGAGUAACGCGUAAGAACCUGCCCUUGGGAGGGGAACAACAGCUGGAAACGGCUGCUAAUACCCCGUAGGCUGAGGAGCGAAAGGAGGAAUCCGCCCAAGGAGGGGCUCGCGUCUGAUUAGCUAGUUGGUGAGGUAAUAGCUUACCAAGGCCGUGAUCAGUAGCUGGUCCGAGAGGAUGAUCAGCCACACUGGGACUGAGACAAGGCCCAGACUCCUACGGGAGGCAGCAGUGGGGAAUUUUCCGCAAUGGGCGGAAGCCUGACGGAGCAAUGCCGCGUGGAGGUAAAAGGCCUACGGGUCAUGAACUUCUUUUCCUGGAGAAGAAACAAUGACGGUAGCUGGGGAAUAAGCAUCGGCUAACUCUGUG